rnacentral:rRNA from 1 species
GGGUCAGUAGGUUGGUCGUGCCACCGGUACGUACUGGUCUCACUGAUUCCUCCUUCCUGAGGAACCGUAAUGCCAUUGAUUUGGUGUUGCGGGGAAACAGGACUGUUACUUUGAAAAAAUUAGAGUGUUUAAAGCAAGCUAACGCUUGAAUACAUUAGCAUGGAAUAAUGAAAUAGGACGAUCGAUCCUAUUUUGUUGGUUUCUAGGAUUGACGUA